CCUACGGGGUGCAGCAGUAGGGAAUAUUGCUCAAUGGGGGAAACCCUGAAGCAGCAACGCCGCGUGGAGGAUGAAGGUUUUCGGAUUGUAAACUCCUUUUGUUAGAGAAGAUAAUGACGGUAUCUAACGAAUAAGCACCGGCUAACUCCGUGCCAGCAGCCGCGGUAAUACGGAGGGUGCAAGCGUUACUCGGAAUCACUGGGCGGAAAGAGCGCGUAGGCGGGAUAGCAAGUCAGAUGUGAAAUCCUAUGGCUUAACCAUAGAACUGCAUUUGAAACUGGUAUUCUAGAGUAUGGGAGAGGUAGGUGGAAUUCUUGGUGUAGGGGUAAAAUCCGUAGAGAUCAAGAGGAAUACUCAUUGCGAAGGCGACCUGCUAGAACAUAACUGACGCUGAUGCGCGAAAGCGUGGGGAGCAAACAGGAUUAGAUACCCCUGUAGUC
rnacentral:rRNA from 1 species